rnacentral:misc_RNA from 1 species
CUGCUCGGAGGCCAUGAAAAAUGUCAAGAGAGAGAAAAAGGUGGGAGAGAAGGGUUAAUUUGGUUGGGGGGUGGGGGCGUGGGUCUAAAGGGGCUAGCGUAGGGCGGGUGCGUUACCGCCUCACGAGGAUUCGUUGGGUGGGUUGGGUGGUGGAGCGUUUCGUCGAUCCACGCUCUCUCAUUGCGCGUGUUUUCAAACUCAUUCCAAUUUUGCAAGAUUCCGCUGAUUCCGGUAGCCAAUGGCUCUUACCUUCUUACGAUCUUCAAUUACCCGUUGCCGUGUUAUAGUCAAACAAGAAGAAGUCCUUUUCGUUCGCUUAAACUACAUGUCGUUUACUUGUCCUUGUACAGAUCCACAUAUUUUAGACUAGGUUAGCUGGGAACGGAUUUUUCUCAUUUUUCUUUUGCCUACGUUCCAACUUGACGAAACCCAAGACAAAGUCCAUGCCCGCAGCCCACUGGCCCAUCUACGUAGCUGACGUUGCAAAAUUUGGCACCUUAUCCACCUCCCUUUCAAAGACAGCAUAUGCCCUUCCUUCUCCAUGGAUCCCAGUUCUUUCUCCUUUACCCAGAAACUCAUCACAACAAGCACAUUCUAACAUGGUUUGUAUAGCUCAUAAAAGGGUGUAAAAAGGAGCCAUUAAAUACUAAUGCCAUUGAUGGCUUCUGCAACUACAAGACCCACUUUCUCUUUCCACCUUUCCCACUUCCCUUCCCUCCCAAAAAACCCACUACUCAUUAUUGCAAAUUAUCAUUCAUCUCUCUCCAAAAACCUCAAAAGGUUUCACUAUUCGCUCAGUUGAUGUCUCUAAAGAAGACAAACCACCCACUUCAAACCAAGCAAGUAAUCCUCCACCAACGCCACCAGAAUCACCUCCUGCAGCAGAAUCACCCCCCUCAAGAUUUGGAACCGACAUUUGACAAGCGGAGGUUGGAAGAGAAGUUUGCAGUGUUGAAUACUGGGAUCUAUGACUGCAGAUCUUGUGGAUACAAAUAUGAUUAGACUAUUGGCGACCCAUUAUAUCCAAUUCCACCAGGAUUACAAUUUGACAAAUUGCCUGAGGACUGGAGCUGUCCUACUUGUGGGGCUGCAAAGACUUUCUUUGAGAGUAAGAGUGUAGAGAUAGCUGGUUUUGCACAUAACCAGCAAUAUGGGCUUGGAGGAAACUCACUCACUUCUGGGCAAAAGGCUAUUUUGAUAUAUGGGAGCUUAUUGUUCUUCUUUGUUCUGUUCUUGUCAGGGUACUUUCUGCAAUAAUAACGUAUGACAAUUGAGUUGGGUUUUUAGUUUUGUGCUUACCUGUUGACUAGUUUAUUUGUGAUACUUGCAAAUAGAGUCAUAUUUCUAGAAGUGGAUUGGUGGAGUUGUACAAAUACUAUUUUCUUUGGAUUUAGGUAUCCUACAGAGUCCAAGAGAUUUCAGGAAAAUAUUGAAGCCAUACUCGAGUGAAUUCAGCAAAUCCUAGUGUUGUGUUCUUAUUCUGCACAUUAAGUCAUUAAUGGUCUCCUUCGGCAAUUGAAACUUCAUUCUCUCCUUUGCAAUCAAGUGCUCGUUAACUGUGGGAAAUUACAAAUUGUAGUAGUACAGUUCCCAUAUAAUUUAUCAUUAAAAUUGAAAUUCUCCAUGUAGUGUAUUAAAA